UACGUAGGGUGCAAGCGUUUGUCCGGAAUUAUUGGGCGUAAAGAGCUCGUAGGCGGUUUGUCGCGUCGAAUGUGAAAACCCGGGGCUCAACCCCGGGCCUGCAUUCGAUACGGGCAGACUAGAGUUCGGUAGGGGAGUCUGGAAUUCCUGGUGUAGCGGUGAAAUGCGCAGAUAUCAGGAGGAACACCAGCGGCGAAAGGCGGUGCUCUGGGCCGGAACUGACACUGAGGAGCGAAAGCGUGGGUAGCAAACAGG
rnacentral:rRNA from 1 species